rnacentral:tRNA from 1 species
GCCCCAGUAGUAUAAUCGAUUACUUUGGUCUUGUAAACCAAAAAUGAAGCCUCAACGCUCCCUAGGGCA